CUGGCCUAUUUUUUCUUUUUCAUGGUGAGUACCCUAGCUGAGAUCCUUGUUGUGUCCAUGGAUGGUUGUAAGAGGUCCCUAAAUGACUAUUCUUUAUCCUGCCCCUUCAUUCUAUCAGCUGCUCUACACAUGCCCUCUGGAACAUUCUUUCAAGCUCAGAUCUCAUCAUGUGUGCCAUCGUCCAGUUAAUGAGUCUUUUGGGGUCCCCACUGCCAGCCCAGUGAAGGCCAAACUUGGCUGGUACUGAAGACCCUCAGCCAGUCUUGCUGGGUGGUCUUCAAGCUUUAUGUCCCAGCUCUAGAAUCUACAAUUCUCUUGGUUUCAAGUUGUUCCUCCCUGCUGGGACAAGUCCUAACGUGUGUGAUGGAUUAUAUUGUUUGCUGAGAACGACAGCAAGGAAAACUGAGCUGGCUCCCCAAGCAGAAGACUGCUCAGGGUGUUCUUUGUAUAUGUAUAUCAUACACCAGUUAAACUAAACGCGGGAUAUGUGACUCUGCCCUCAUUGCUCCCUCGUGGAGAAUGCUUUCUAGUUUGUUUUUGAUCAGUAGUAAGCAGACACCAGCUGCCUGCCUAGUUUAUCUUUAUUCUAUGAGAAAACACAGAACACCUAUUUGGAAAUAAAAAAUC